rnacentral:rRNA from 1 species
UACGUAGGGCGCAAGCGUUAUCCGGAAUUAUUGGGCGUAAAGGGCGCGUAGGCGGCCUUCUAAGUCGAACGUGAAAUCCCCGGGCUCAACCCGGGAACUGCGUCCGAUACUGGAAGGCUUGAAUCCGGGAGAGGGAUGUGGAAUUCCAGGUGUAGCGGUGAAAUGCGUAGAUAUCAGGAGGAACACCGGUGGUGUAGACGGCUUUCUGGACCGUAACUGACGCUGAAACACGAAAGCGUGGGUAGCAAACAGG